ensembl:lncRNA novel transcript, antisense to ASB2
GGUCUUCGUAGAGGCGCGCGCGCUCGGGGGCCAGCGGCGUGUUCACGUCGAAGCGCGCGCUCAGCAGCGCCUCCAGCACCUCGUCGUGGUUGCGCUCGGCCGCCAGCCCUGCCACCUGCAAGAACAAGCUCCUGCACCAAUAUGAUUCCAGACCCUAAUCCAUCCAAUCCCUGCUGACAGGUCACAGCUGGUCUCCGGCAGUUCUCCACGAACCAAGGGAAAGUGGCAGAAAUGUGGGAACUUGAGCAUUGUCUCAGUUAUGUGGUGAAUCAUCUUACUGCGGCAGGACUCUGCCAAUCAGAAAGUGAAUGUGUAACGCCGGACAGGCUCUGGAGAUCAGCACGUUUUGGAUUCUCAGAGUAUAAUUGCUCAAGCGGCACCUCAUGAAGAGGAACAAAGGAAGAAUUUCAAGUGGCUUGCAAAGAUUGAUAAAAUACAGCAAAAGUGUUAUAUGUUGGAACUAAAAGAGAAGGAAUAUUUAAAAACGAGGGAGGCAGAAGUAAGGCCCAGAAUGCAAGUCUGUGUUUUCUGUUGGCCACAGAAGAGGCUCUAAGAUCCUGAUUCUCUACCCAGGCUGCACAGUAAAAUCUCCCGGGCAGCUCUUAGACACCUUGAAGCCUCAGCCACGGCCCAGACCAGCGGCAGCGCCAUCUCGUCAGGUGGGGCCCAGGCAUCAGGGUUUCUGGUGCAGCCAAGGUUGGACAC